rnacentral:rRNA from 1 species
CCUACGGUGUGCAGCAGUGAGGAAUAUUGGUCAAUGGACGAGAGUCUGAACCAGCCAAGUAGCGUGAAGGAUGACUGCCCUAUGGGUUGUAAACUUCUUUUAUAAAUGAAUAAAACGAGGCACGUGAGCCUUUUUGCAUGGACUUUAUUAAUAAAGAUCGGCUAACUCCGUGCCAGCAGCCGCGGUAAUACGGAGGAUCCGGGCGUUAUCCGGAUUUAUUGGGUUUAAAGUGAGCGUAGAUGGGUUGUUAAGUCAGUUGUGAAAGUUUGCGGCUCAACCGUAGAAUUGCAAUUGCUACUGGCAGUCUUGAGUACAGUUGAGGUAGGCGGAAUUCGUGGUGUAGCGGUGAAA